ACGGAAGGCAGCAGUGGGGUAUAUUGGGCAAUGAGCGAAAGCCUGACCCAGCAACGCCGCGUGAAGGAAGAAGGUCCUCGGAUUGUAAACUUCUUUUAUGAGGGACGAAGGAAGUGACGGUACCUCAUGAAUAAGCCACGGCUAACUACGUGCCAGCAGCCGCGGUAAUACGUAGGUGGCAAGCGUUAUCCGGAUUUACUGGGUGUAAAGGGCGCGUAGGCGGGGAUGCAAGUCAGAUGUGAAAUCUAUGGGCUUAACUCAUAAACUGCAUUUGAAACUGUAUCUCUUGAGUGCUGGAGAGGUGGAUGGAAUUCCUUGUGUAGCGGUGAAAUGCGUAGAUAUAAGGAAGAACACCAGUGGCGAAGGCGAUCUACUGGACAGUAACUGACGCUGAGGCGCGAGAGCGUGGGGAGCAGACAGGAUUAGAUACCCUGGUA
rnacentral:rRNA from 1 species